GUUGGAUAAAUCGGCAUAGACUAUCUGAUAGUCCUAUUAUUCUUUGUCCAACACUUUUUGUAAAAGAAUAUCUCGAUAUUAAACGCUACAUCUAUUGCAGUCACACUUUUUAGGAGUUGAAUCAUAAAACAUGUAAUAAAUGUGAUAAAGACAACAAUAGUCCACAAAAACACUGCACAGGGACUUAGUAAUCAGCCAUAGUUUCACACCAAGCCAGGGGAAAGAUAAAGGAGGUGAUAAAGAUACCAGACUGACAUUCCAAAUCAGUCGAGAAUAAACGCAAUGUAUAAAAAAAGAACAAAACAGACACUUAAACAUUAGUACAUAAAAACACAGCAUAGAAAAAUUUAAGACUAAACAAUACAAACCCCAC
rnacentral:lncRNA from 1 species